AAAGGUCAUUUUUACUACAGCUACAGUAGUGCCAUAAGCACUGCAUUGUUCACAUCCCAGAGUUCAGAAAGUUUAAUGACGGAACUGAUCACAUCUCCUGCAUAAACCAGAACAAAGACUCUCACCCAAGACUGCGAGGACAGUAUCGUGUCACUUACUGAUGAAUGUACUUCUAACAGGGUCAUGACUUCAACUUGGAGACAACACUGCAAUUCUCCCCAUUUAAAAUAGGGUACCUCUCCAACAUGAUAAAAGCUCCAUCCACUCCAGGGCUACGGGGGGUACUGGAGGGGUCACUCCAGAGCUGCCUGC